CUACGGGUGGCUGCAGUAGGGAAUAUUGCGCAAUGGGCGAAAGCCUGACGCAGCGACGCCGCGUGAGUGAUGAAGGUCCUCUGGAUUGUAAAGCUCUGUAAGGAGGGAAGAACCGCCUGGUGUAACGGCCAGGUCUGACGGUACCUCCAAAGUAAGCACCGGCUAAAUAAGUGCCAGCAGCCGCGGUAAUACUUAUGGUGCGAGCGUUGUCCGGAAUGACUGGGCGUAAAGGGUGCGUAGGCGGACUUUCAAGUCAGGUGUGAAAUCCCCGGGCUUAACCUGGGAACUGCGCUUGAAACUGGAAGUCUAGAGUAUGUGAGGGGUUAGCGUAAUUCCCGGAGUAGCGGUGAAAUGCGUAGAGAUCGGGAAGAACACCGGUGGCGAAGGCGGCUAACUGGCACAUGACUGACGCUGAGGCACGAAAGCGUGGGGAGCGAACGGGAUUAGAUACCCCUGUAGUC
rnacentral:rRNA from 1 species